rnacentral:rRNA from 1 species
CGUAGGGUGCAAGCGUUGCUCGGAAUUAUUGGGCGUAAAGAGCGUGUAGGUGGCUGAGUAAGUCGGAUGUGAAAUCCCUGGGCUCAACCGAGGAAGUGCAUUCGAAACUACUUAGCUCGAGGAUGGCAGAGGAAGGUGGAAUUCCAAGUGUAGAGGUGAAAUUCGUAGAUAUUUGGAGGAAUACCGGUGGCGAAGGCGGCCUUCUGGACCAUUCCUGACACUGAGACGCGAAAGCGUGGGUAGCAAACAGGAUUAGAUACCCUGGUAGUCCACGCCGUAAACGAUGGGUACUAGAUGUUGUGGGAAUUGACCCCCGCAGUGUCGUAGCUAACGCGUUAAGUACCCCGCCUGGGAAGUACGGUCGCAAGAUUA